GACGAACGCUGGCGGCGUGCUUAACACAUGCCAGUCGAACGGAAAGGCCCUGCUUUUGUGGGGUGCUCGAGUGGCGAACGGGUGAGUAACACGUGAGUAACCUGCCCUUGACUUUGGGAUAACUUCAGGAAACUGGGGCUAAUACCGGAUAGGAGCUCCUGCUGCAUGGUGGGGGUUGGAAAGUUUCGGCGGUUGGGGAUGGACUCGCGGCUUAUCAGCUUGUUGGUGGGGUAGUGGCUUACCAAGGCUUUGACGGGUAGCCGGCCUGAGAGGGUGACCGGCAACAUUGGGACUGAGAGACGGCCCAGACUCCUACGGGAGGCAGCAGUGGGGAAUAUUGCACAAGGGGCGGAAGCCUGAUGCAGCAACGCCGGGUGCGGGAUGACGGCCUUCGGGUGGUAAACCGCUUUCGCCUGUGACGAAGCGUGAGUGACGGUAAUGGGUAAAGAAGCACCGGCUAACUACGU
rnacentral:rRNA from 1 species